CCUACGGGGUGCAGCAGUGAGGAAUAUUGGUCAAUGGACGAGAGUCUGAACCAGCCAAGUAGCGUGAAGGAUGACUGCCCUAUGGGUUGUAAACUUCUUUUAUAUGGGAAUAAAAUGUUCCACGUGUGGGAUUUUGUAUGUACCAUAUGAAUAAGGAUCGGCUAACUCCGUGCCAGCAGCCGCGGUAAUACGGAGGAUCCGAGCGUUAUCCGGAUUUAUUGGGUUUAAAGGGAGCGUAGGUGGAUUGUUAAGUCAGUUGUGAAAGUUUGCGGCUCAAGCGUAAAAUUGCAGUUGAAACUGGCAGUCUUGAGUACAGUAGAGGUGGGCGGAAUUCGUGGUGUAGCGGUGAAAUGCUUAGAUAUCACGAAGAACUCCGAUUGCGAAGGCAGUUCACUGGACUGCAACUGACACUGAGGCUCGAAAGUGUGGGUAUCAAACAGGAUUAGAUACCCGAGUAGUC
rnacentral:rRNA from 1 species